CGGUUUGCAAGACAGACCUUAUGAAAGCAGUUUUAGUAAAGCAGUCCGUAGUUCAGGUGUUAUCCAACAGAUUUCCCUUCUUCGUGAGUCUCCUCCUAAGUGCCCAAGUAAGUCCCACUCUAUCAGACCAAAUUCGCCGCGUUGUGUGGCUCUCGAAUCAAGAAGGUAAUAUCUAUGUCUAACAAAAUGACUGGUUUAGUAAAAUGGUUUAACGCUGAUAAAGGCUUCGGCUUUAUCACUCCUGCUGAUGGUAGCAAAGAUGUGUUCGUUCACUUCUCUGCAAUCCAGAGCAAUGACUUCCGUACCCUGGAUGAAGGCCAGAAAGUUGAGUUCUCUAUCGAGAAUGGCGCUAAAGGCCCGGCAGCAGCAAACGUUGUAGCCUUAAGCUA
rnacentral:sRNA from 1 species